UACGAAGGGUGCAAGCGUUACUCGGAAUUACUGGGCGUAAAGCGUGCGUAGGUGGUGAGUUAAGUCUGAUGUGAAAUCCCCGGGCUCAACCUGGGAAUGGCAUUGGAUACUGGCUCGCUCGAGUGCGGUAGAGGGUGGUGGAAUUCCCGGUGUAGCAGUGAAAUGCGUAGAGAUCGGGAGGAACAUCUGUGGCGAAGGCGGCCACCUGGACCAGCACUGACACUGAGGCACGAAAGCGUGGGGAUCAAACAGG
rnacentral:rRNA from 1 species